AUUGAACGCUGGCGGCAGGCCUAACACAUGCAAGUCGAGCGGAGCGGCGGACGGGUGAGUAAUGCCUAGGACUCUGCCUGGUCGUGGGGGAUAACGUCCGGACACGGGCGCUAAUACCGCAUACUAUCAGAUGAGCCUAGGUCGGAUUAGCUAGUUGGUGGGGUAAAGGACUACCAAGGCGACGAUCCGGAACUGGUCUGAGAGGAUGAUCAGUCAAACUGGAAAUGAGACACGGUCCAGAAUCCUACGGGAGGCAGCAGUGGGGAAGAUUGGGAAAUGGGCGAAAGCCUGAUCCAGACAUGCCGCGUGUGUGAAGAAGGUCUUCGGAUUGUAAAGCACUUUAAGUUGGGAGGCGGUACCAACAGAAUAAGCACCGGCUAACUUCGUGCCAGCAGCCGCGGUAAUAC
rnacentral:rRNA from 1 species